UAUUGGUUGUUCGUGUGGUUCUCUCUUUUAAUUGGAUACGUUUUCUUGUUUCUGUUAUAGCGUGUUCUCUUAUGCGUGUUGAGCUUUGGCUGUGGGGUGUUUAGUUGUUAAUCGUGGGUUUUGAUUUCUGUUAUUGUCAAACAUUUCAGUAAAAAUGGUUGCAUAUUGGCGACAGGCAGGACUCAGCUAUAUCCGCUAUUCACAAAUCUGUGCCAGGGCUGUCAGAGCAGCGUUAAAACCUCAGUACAGACAGCAGGCUGAGAAAGCUGCAGAGUCCAAUGUAAAAUUGAUUAAAAAGGCAAAACAGUAGCAAGAUCCUGUUUUUCAACAUGUGCCUACAUCUGAAGUACUGGCUCUGUUCAACAGACAAGAUGUGUAUAGACUCUGAAAGGAAAACCUACAGCAUUAUUUAACCUCGUUUUGAAGAACUGUUAUGUUUGUGUGUACAUUGGUACCACAUUGCUAGAGAGAGAGAGAGAGAGAGCUCUGUUAUUUUUUUUCCUUUCGUUAGAAUUUGGCUCCACAUCACUGAAACUGCUGUAACAUUCAUUGUUACCUUUGACAACCUAAAACCUUGUAGUUGAGCUGUACAAGUCAGUAUGUUUAAUAAACAGUGUACAUGUGCAAA